GAUUGUUGGCUGAGCCUUAGAGGCCAAUUAUUUUUGGUACUUGUAUCGAAUUAUUUAUUAAUAAUAAAAGGCUUUUUCUUUAUUACGUUUGUUUAAUAAAGUCCCUAGAAUAGCUAGUCUGUUUAAUGUAUCAAGUAUGACUUAAUACAUGAGAUCACAUUAAACAUAAGGACUAUUUCUUAAAGUAUCCGUAGUCGAGCUUUAGUGUGAAGUGGGAUAACAUUGAAGCAUUAAGACUAUUAUGUUUGUAGACUGGAUGAUCACAUCUUCAUGGAUCAUGGAUAAGAGUUAUCAAGUCUCUUAAACAUAGGUAUGAAUAUUAAGAGUAAUAUUUGUACCGGAUUGACCCGCUAUGAGAAUACUAUAUAGAAAGUUAUGCAAGGUGUCAUAAGUUAUUUCUCAUGGUGAUAAUAGUGUAUUCCACUCUUCGACCUGAAACCACUAUGGAUCCUAGAUGUAGAGUCGAGUGCUUUAUUGCUUGAUCAACGUUGUCCGUAACUAGAUAACCAUAAAGACAGUUAAUGGUACUUCUCACAAAGCCAUGCUUGAGGACAUGAGGUGUCCUAGAUGGAAUUUGUCCAUCCUGCGUACAGGAUAAACAAUGUCUAUGGGCCAAAUUAUUGAAACGAGCUGAACAAGGAUGACACGGUUAUUGGUCUAAUGCUAUUGUGUUCAAAUUUUUGGAGUUUUGAUAUAGGAAACUAAUUGGAGGUGUUUAAUUGUCAAGAAGGAUGUAGAGAAUGUAUGGGGGAUUUUAGUUAUCAAACAAUAAAUAUAUGAUUUACAUCAGUCGCAGUUAAGACAAAGGAUAGAGGGCAAAAGGGUAAACAAAUUAUAUCACAUAAUUUUAUCACUAGAAAGGUUUUUGUCAGAUCAAUUCGACAUAUUUUCGUUCUUGGGUAACAGCAUGAUGUGUUGCAACCUAAGGGCUUCAGGAUGGUCGGAGCAGAGGUGUGGUUUGUUUAAUCUAUAUUUAUACAUGUGCGGUCGAAUCUUUAAUAGUAUGAUUUUUGCCCAAGCGUCAACGAAAAACCUAGCAGGGUGGCCCAGACAACACACAGGAACGGAUUGAUGAAAAGAAGAUAAGAAGUAAACUAAUGGAAUACCAGUAAGGUACGGUGCCAAAAAAGAUAUUAAGAACAUCGUAAGGUACGGUGUCCUGAGUAGAAUACCGAAAUAUGGUAAAGGUACCAUGACACAAGGCCCCCAGGAGCACACUAGUAUAAAAAAAAAAAUUUUUUUUUGGGCAUGUAUAAGAUAUGGGGCCAAAAUAAACACUAAGUGGCUUUUUUUUUUUAGCUUGAAGCCCACUACAAGUGGUUGCUAUAAAUAGAACCCUUGUGCAGAAGUAUAAGAAAUUGCUGGUUGCAUUAUUUUCGUUUUCUAUCACUCUUCUUCUCUCUCACUCAAAGCCUUCACAUCGUACAGCUAGCACUGAGAUUGAAGGACCCGUCGUGUGGACUGAGUACAGACCGUUGUCAUCGUCAACGUUCGUGAUCUGCUUCGUGGAUUUGCAUCAAAGGUUGUGAAUCGCACAAGAGACUGCAAACAAAGGUUUCAACCGUCACAAGAGGUAAAUAUUCUAUCACUGAUCAUGACCAUUCGUAAGGAUCUCUAAAGGAGAAAAUUUUAAUUUCCGCUGCGCUUUGGGUCGCAAUUCUCCUUCACACUGUUGGAUGGGAAAGGAAUGAUAUUGCAUAUUGUCCUUUCGCCCAUAAAAUUAGUGACAAGUGUGAUAUAUAGUACUGUCCUUGCCCAUGAAUUUAGGUAGUGGAAAGGAUGUUCGUUUUGUACCAUGUACUAUUUGAUCACGUUCCCAUUUUGAUCUUAUCUUCAAAUUCAUUGGCUUAUGAUGAAAGUUGAUGAAGCAUGAAAUGAAUAAACAUAAACCUGGAUUUAGAAACUUCAGAAUCUUUGGUCAGAACCUUGAUAGCAUCAGUAGUCUGGCUUGAGAUCUUCAGUAUCUUUAGAGUCUUCAGAAUCCUCAGUCAGAACCUUGAUAACUUCAAUCGUCUGACUUGAGAUCUUCAGAAUCUUCAACUAUAUAACACAACUUCAUAAGCUUGUCAUUCUUCAGAAGUUUAAUGAUCAGAGUCACAUCCAGAAGCAUGAAUUGAGAGAAUAUUGCAGCAGCAACAUAAUGUCUCCUCAGAAGCUUCUGAUGAGUGAGACAACACAAAAGCAGAAAGAACAUUGCAGCAACAAUAUUUAUGUCUUUCAGAACUUCUAAUAGCCAACAUAGAAGCGGAUUUGGAACACAUAGUUCAGAAACUAAUGACGUUGCACAUCAUAUAUUCAGAAUCAGAACUGAUUGUUAAAGUUAAAUAAUAACAAACCAUUAGGGUACCAAAAUUGUUCUCACACAAAUACAAUAUUGUUAUCAUCAAAACUCAAGGUAUAGAUGUAGAACCAAAUCUUGUUCUAACAGAUGUCACCCUUCAUAUGUCUUGAGCAUCUACUAACGAGAACCUGUAUUCUCUUCAUAUAGCCAAGACAUUUAUCCUACAAGAUCGCCAAGAAAUGCUAGGUACCCAAUCUUCAUUGGGUCUUUGAGAGUUAGUGAAAGUAUGGUUGCAUUUGGGCAACCAUUGAAAAAAAAUUUAGGAACAAAGAGUCUCCUAAAUUUGCAUUUCUCAAUGGUGUGACCUCUCUUGCAACAAUAGUGACAAGAUAAAUUGUGAUGAGAUGUUCUUUUGCUAUUUGAAUCCUUUUGAAUAUAUCUAUACUUUUUAUGUGGAUGGUUCAAAGACCUUUUAAAUUUUGAGGGGUCAAUAGCAAAUAUAACAUUUGGUUGUAAUGCCUUGUCCAAUUUAGUUUUAAGAGUAUUAACCUCUUUUUGCCAAAUGUGACAAGUUUCACAACUGAAACAUGAAGGUUUUUCAUCCUCAUUCUUAUCCUUUUGAAUAUCUACCAUAGAUUGUUUAAGAGCUUCCAUUUUCUUUUUAGUUUCUAAAACUUUAGCUUCUGAGUGUGAAAAGAUUCUUUUGUUUAAAGCUAACUUUUUAAAAACGCACACGCCUUUUCUAUGUAGAUUUUCAAAAGCAUUUUAUAAUUGAGAAUAAGAUAUUAUAUUAAUAGAUUCGUGUUUAGAACGACUUACAUUCUUCUUCUUCUUUUGAUUGUCCAUGAAGCAAAUAUUUGUCGAUUCGUCACUACUACUUGAGCUUUCAUCACUUGAGGAUUCACUUUCCCUCUCCCAAGGAACGUAUGCUCUUAUGGACUUGCUAGACUUCUUGUAAUGGCCUUUCUCUUUGUCUGACUUAUAAUGACCGACUUUUCCACAACUGUAGCAUGAACCUCUAUGUUUACCCUUCUUAUUCUCACAUUCCUUUGAGGAGUUCGAUAGUCUUAUAAAGUUAAUUAGGUUCUUAUCAGAGUGCUUGACUCCAUUUUUCUCCAUGUACCUAUGGUACAUUUUGACGAACAACCUCAUUUCUUCAUCAUUAGAAUUCUCGUCAUUACUUGUUUCACAAUCACUUUGCUCAUUGGUUGAGGAUUUUAAACUUGAAGCCUUUAGAGAAAUAAACUUCUUUUUUACCUCUUUGUCCUUGUCUUUCUCCUUCUUUAUCUUCUUCUCGUUCUUUUUCUUAUGUUUUUCCAAGCAAAUGAGUUCUUACUCAUGUUCUUGUAGUUUGGGAAAUAAAGUUGUGAGGUCAAGUUUUCUAAGAUCAUUCGCUUCUUUGAUUGCGGUGACCUUAGGUUGUCAUUCCCUAUUAAGACACCUCAAAACUUUAUUAGUAGCAAUAUCAUUGGAAAUAUGCUUACCUAGAGCAUUCAAAUGAUUUAUAAGAUGUGUGAACCUCUUUUGCAUGUCAGCAAUGGUUUCACCAUGCUUCAUGCGAAAUAGUUCAAACUCUUUAGUUAAGGUAUUGAUCCUUGCUUGUUUGACUUCAUUAAUUCUCUCAUGGGUAACUUCUAAUGCAUCCCACAUAGCUUUGACAUUUUCAUAAUGGGAAACACGAUAAUAUUCAUCAACGCCAAGUGCGGGUAUGAGAAUAUUUUGUGCCCAAUCCAAAACUCUGUUCACUCAGACGGACGGACAUGUGUACGAUCACUCGGAGAUUCUGCAUUAAAGAUAGACACCACAAAUACCUCAACCAUUUGAAUCUAUUCAACUGGCUGUUAUAAUUAUCAUAUAUAUAUAUAUAAGUGUGACAUCAUGUCACAUUAAAGUACGAUUCAAUAUACUUUUACAAAUUAACACUACUUUGAUUUCACCGUCUUAUAAGUUUAAAUACUAACAUUGUAGAUACACAUUUUCCUAAUGACUCCAACCGCGACACUAAAAGUGUAAACUUCACCAUCACAUCAUUUUUUUUUCAAAAGAAAUAAAAGAGUUUUGAUUCCUACUUUGCAAUCCUUGCUCGAUGAAGUAACCAACCAAGGGAUUAAUGAUGACCCCACUUUAUCCCAAAGUCUCCAAUGUGGCAUGAUGUGAUUGAGUAACCAGCACAUCCACGAAAACGCAAUCCAAACCUAAUCUAUUCACAAGUAUUCAAUUUUUUCGUAGAAGUCAAUAAUAAUAAUAAUAAUAAUUGGAACACAAAAACUACCAUCACCACUAAGAUUCCUCACAUAUCUAUUCAGACCUCUUAGCAUUGCCAACACCGAAAUCACAUACUAGAAUGGCAACAACAACCUUUGCAACCGUCGUAGGAAUGGGUGGUGCAUCACGUCUCACCUCAGGUAUAUCUGUCAUUAAUUAAAACAUAAUUAAGCAUGUACCAUUUUUUUAUAUAUGUUUGUAUUUAUUUUAAUUGUGAUUUUCUUCCAGGAUUUGGGAAACCACAAGUAACUGCUAGGAAUCCUUUGAGGCAAGCUAUGGCGGUAGGAAAUGGUGGAAGAGUGACAUGGUAAUUUUUAUUAUAAGAUUGAUUUGUAAGGUUUUUAAACUGAAUUAUUUGAUCUCUAUGAAUAUUUAUUUUGAUGAUGAAAAAAAUGAAUUGUGAUAUUUUUUGUGGAUUGUGAUGUGAAGCUUCCAGAGGGAUUGGCUACGGAGGGAUUUCAAUGUGAUUGGGUUUGGGUUGAUAGGUUGGUUGGCACCGUCUAGCAUCCCGGCUAUUGACGGUAAAAGUCUGACUGGACUUUUCUUUGAUAGUAUUGGAACUGAACUUGCUCACUUCCCUACACCUCCAGCUCUUACUUCACAGUUUUGGUUAGUCAUUUCUUUCACAUAUUUUUGUAUUUAAUUCACUUGAUUCUCUGCUAUAUGCAAUCAUAGUUUCAAAUGAAAGUGGAAACAUAGAUGAGAAGUGAAGUAAUGAACAGGAAGGAAUUAGUUGGAGAUCUUCUAUACUUGUCCUUAGGUAUCCAACGGAUCAGGGACGGUUUUUAGUUCCCAUCCAAACCUGAAUUUCAAAAUAAUCUUCAACUCCCCAUUUUAUAAUUGAGAAAAACUCAAACUUUAACCUAAUUCAAUGAAAAUGGAUUUUUUUCAUAAAUUCGGGAUGGGACGGGAUAGGAUGGGUAUCCGGGAGAGUAUGAUUAUAUUGUCUUGCGUAUUAAAUCCUUAAAUCCAUUCAAAUUGAUUAGCUCAUGAGUCAUUUAGAAAAAUACUGAUAAAUAUAAAGCUUAAACCUUAUAAUAAAGAGCCCAAAUUUUAAAAGGUUAUUUCAGUCUGAUCUUAAAUAGCUCGUUAUCCAUUCAGGUCAGUAACAUGUAGCUAGCUCGUUUGAUUUGCAAACUAAAACUUAUAUUAUUAUUUAUGGCUGUUUCACAUUUCUUAAAAUUUUUAUUUUUUAAGAUAAUUAAGUUUUUCACAAAACUUCUUAAAUAAUUAUAUUUUUCUAUUAAUUUGAAGUAUUUAUUUUUUAAAUAAAAAAGAUUUACAACACAAAAUACAUAUUUAAUGACGACUACAUUAAAUAAAUAAAAAACAUAGUCAAUUGAAUUAACGGGUUAUUUGACGCAUUUGUACAAGAAAUAGGAAGGGUCGCCAAUUAAAUCAGUGACUAUGUGUUGAGUAUUUUUUUUAUUUUAAUCUAAUUAAUUAAUAAAUAAGUUUAAUAAAAACUAAUAAUAUUUAAAUUUAAAUCGAAUUAUACGAUAGUAUUGAGGAUAAAAUAUUUAAUGAAAAAACCAACUUAGCCAAUUUAAUAUACUAGGAACAUUUAGAAAAAUCAUCAAUGUCUUGGCUCAAUCAACUAGGUCACUCACUAAUAACUCCAUCAAUCCAAACAACAUAAUUCAACUAAUAACUCGUCAAUAGACACAAGACUACAUAAAAUUACAAGAAUUUAUUAGAUAAUUUGAUGAUAGGAUGUUCAGUGCAUAUUGAAAUGGUUAAGUUGCUUUUUCCAUUGAUUCGUCUUACCCUUAGUAAGUACACUCAAUAACAUGUAGAUGAUCUUUAAUGUUCUAGUACAUUCACCGAUUGGAAUAUAUAUUUAUAUGUUAAAUAUAUAUACAUUAAUAUUAUCAAAAUAAAUUUAAUUAUUUUAUGUUAGAAUUUAAAUUUUAAUGAAAAAAGUUAAUAAAGAGUUAGGUUCACAAUGAUAAAAAAAAAAUGAGUUCAAACUCUAUAAGUUCAUAUAUGCCAGCUUUAUAAGUCCGUCAUUAGCCUAAUAAAAAAGAAUCACAUCAUAGUUCAUUUCGUCUUUUUUUAUAGAUUUUUAAGUUUAGUUUGUUAAUAAAUAUUAAAAGGUGCUUAAUUUAAUUUUAAAUAAUUAAAUAGCAAGCAAGAUCUUUAAUGAUAAGGAUCAAAAAAAUUUAAAAGAAAAUUUUAAAAAAAAUAAAAAAAGUUAAAAAUUUUAGGUCCCACCGAGAAUUGAACUCGGGUUACUAGAUUCAGAGUCUAAUGUCCUAACCGCUAGACCAUGGGACCAGUUGAUGAUAGAGAGUUACGACGUGUUGUAUAUAAAUAUUCCGUAAAAUUAUAUUUUGUAUUUGAAUUUGAAUAUAUUUUUCGUUCUAAGACAUAAUAAAGCAAACAUGUUGAACAGGUUAUGGUUGAUCUGUUGGCACUUGGGGCUGUUCAUCUCCCUCACUUUCGGUCAAAUUGGUUUCAAGGGAAGGACUGAGGAGUACUUUGAUUCAUAAUAACUUAUGGUCUGUUAUUAAUUGCUUUUCCUUUUAUAUUAUUUUCUGCCUUGUAAUCUACCAUCUGUAACUCUGGUACCUUUUCCAUUGCACUAGAAAAAAUCGGUGUAAUAUCGCUUUCAUAAUGAAUCAAUGUAUAUUAGUAUUAUGGUUGUAUCUUGUGUGUAUUAGUUGCUUAUCAACGUCCCAAUUUUAGUUUUGCAAUUUUCCUAAAGGAUAAUCAUGAUUAUUAAGCCGGAAUAACUUUUUUUUUAAUGAAAUCUUAUCUAUUUAAUAUUUUACAAAACAAUAACAUUUCGUAAUUUAUAA
rnacentral:lncRNA from 1 species